GAAGGUGGCCUGUGAGGGUUGCUGGAGGUAUCAGAAGUGCGAAUGCUGACAUAAGUAACGAUAAAGCGGGUGAAAAGCCCGCUCGCCGGAAGACCAAGGGUUCCUGUCCAACGUUAAUCGGGGCAGGGUGAGUCGACCCCUAAGGCGAGGCCGAAAGGCGUAGUCGAUGGGAAACGGGUUAAUAUUCCCGUACUUGGUGUUACUGCGAAGGGGGGACGGAGAAGGCUAUGUUGGCCGGGCGACGGUUGUCCCGGUUUAAGCGUGUAGGUGUGUGUUCCAGGUAAAUCCGGUUCACUUUAACACUGAGGCGUGACGACGAGGCACUACGGUGCUGAAGCAACAAAUGCCCUGCUUCCAGGAAAAGCCUCUAAGCAUCAGGUAACAUCAAAUCGUACCCCAAACCGACACAGGUGGUCAGGUAGAGAAUACCAAGGCGCUUGAGAGAACUCGGGUGAAGGAACUAGGCAAAAUGGUGCCGUAACUUCGGGAGAAGGCACGCUGACACGUAGGUGAAGUGAUUUACUCAUGGAGCUGAAGUCAGUCGAAGAUACCAGCUGGCUGCAACUGUUUAUUAAAAACACAGCACUGUGCAAACACGAAAGUGGACGUAUACGGUGUGACGCCUGCCCGGUGCCGGAAGGUUAAUUGAUGGGGUCAGCGCAAGCGAAGCUCCUGAUCGAAGCCCCGGUAAACGGCGGCCGUAACUAUAACGGUCCUAAGGUAGCGAAAUUCCUUGUCGGGUAAGUUCCGACCUGCACGAAUGGCGUAAUGAUGGCCAGGCUGUCUCCACCCGAGACUCAGUGAAAUUGAACUCGCUGUGAAGAUGCAGUGUACCCGCGGCAAGACGGAAAGACCCCGUGAACCUUUACUAUAGCUUGACACUGAACAUUGAGCCUUGAUGUGUAGGAUAGGUGGGAGGCUUUGAAGCGUGGACGCCAGUCUGCGUGGAGCCGACCUUGAAAUACCACCCUUUAAUGUUUGAUGUUCUAACGUGGACCCGUUACCCGGGUUGCGGACAGUGUCUGGUGGGUAGUUUGACUGGGGCGGUCUCCUCCUAAAGAGUAACGGAGGAGCACGAAGGUUGGCUAAUCCUGGUCGGACAUCAGGAGGUUAGUGCAAUGGCAUAAGCCAGCUUGACUGCGAGCGUGACGGCGCGAGCAGGUGCGAAAGCAGGUCAUAGUGAUCCGGUGGUUCUGAAUGGAAGGGCCAUCGCUCAACGGAUAAAAGGUACUCCGGGGAUAACAGGCUGAUACCGCCCAAGAGUUCAUAUCGACGGCGGUGUUUGGCACCUCGAUGUCGGCUCAUCACAUCCUGGGGCUGAAGUAGGUCCCAAGGGUAUGGCUGUUCGCCAUUUAAAGUGGUACGCGAGCUGGGUUUAGAACGUCGUGAGACAGUUCGGUCCCUAUCUGCCGUGGGCGCUGGAGAACUGAGGGGGGCUGCUCCUAGUACGAGAGGACCGGAGUGGACGCAUCACUGGUGUUCGGGUUGUCAUGCCAAUGGCACUGCCCGGUAGCUAAAUGCGGAAGAGAUAAGUGCUGAAAGCAUCUAAGCACGAAACUUGCCCCGAGAUGAGUUCUCCCUGAGACUUAGAGUCUCCUGAAGGAACGUUGAAGACGACGACGUUGAUAGGCCGGGUGUGUAAGCGCAGCGAUGCGUUGAGCUAACCGGUACUAAUGAACCGUGAGGCUUAACCUUACAACGCCGAAG
rnacentral:rRNA from 2 species